UCCAUCCCGUCGCUGGCCGGGAGCCGCCCCCGCGCGGCCGCCAGUGCUGGGGGCGGCUCGGGGGGAGUUGUCCCUCGGCCCCCGCCCCCGGAGGCGCGGCCCGAACCUCGCAAGGGUAGAAAGGGCCGGGCGGGGGGCGCGGCGGCAGAGCCCGGAGCGCAGGGCCCACGCCGCCGGCAUGGCUCUGGAUUUCCUGGCGGGAUGCGUCGGCGGUGCCGCUGGUGUGCUGGUGGGACACCCCUUUGACACUGUUAAGAUGACAGAUAAGCCUCAUCACGGGAGAGUUACCUAGUCCGUCUGCAAGUUCAAAAUGCAGAGAAACCUCUCUACCGCGGGACUUUCCAUUGCUUUCAGUCCAUCAUAAAGCAAGAAUCUGUAAGUACAAAAUUAAUGCUUUGUGUAUUUUUUUAAAAGUCUUUUUGUGUAUUUUGGCUCAGGAGGGUGGGAAAGCUGUUAAAAACAAAGCUGGCAAAUGUUGAAGAUCAAGAGAUAAAGCAUGCUCUGAACCUCCCCUCACCCUAGGGCAGAUAUUGUAGUCAGAACUUUGCCAGAAACUUUGGGAAGAAGAUUACUAAGUAAGAAGAUGGUCUUUUGAGGCUAACUUAUUAAAUAAAAUAAGUAGUUAUUUAAAUAACUAGUUUUCUGAGAAUUUAAGCAAUGAGU
rnacentral:lncRNA from 1 species